UACGAAGGGGCUAGCGUUGCUCGGAAUCACUGGGCGUAAAGGGUGCGUAGGCGGGUCUUAAGUCAGAGGUGAAAUCCUGGAGCUCAACUCCAGAACUGCCUUUGAUACUGAGGAUCUUGAGUAUGGUAGAGGUUGGUGGAACUGCGAGUGUAGAGGUGAAAUUCGUAGAUAUUCGCAAGAACACCGGUGGCGAAGGCGGCCAACUGGACCAUUACUGACGCUGAGGCGCGAAAGCGUGGGGAGCAAACAGG
rnacentral:rRNA from 1 species